rnacentral:SRP_RNA from 1 species
GCCGGGUAUGGUGGCACGUGCCUGUAAUCCCAGCUACUUGGGAGGCUGAGGCAGGAGAACUGCUUGAACCCAGGAGGCAGAGAUUGCAGUGAGACAAAAUUGUGCCACUGCACUUCAGCCUGGGUGACAGAGCAAGACUCUGUCUCUG